UACGUAGGGUGCGAGCGUUAAUCGGAAUUACUGGGCGUAAAGCGUGCGCAGGCGGUUUGCUAAGACCGAUGUGAAAUCCCCGGGCUUAACCUGGGAACUGCAUUGGUGACUGGCAGGCUAGAGUAUGGCAGAGGGGGGUAGAAUUCCACGUGUAGCAGUGAAAUGCGUAGAGAUGUGGAGGAAUACCGAUGGCGAAGGCAGCCCCCUGGGCCAAUACUGACGCUCAUGCACGAAAGCGUGGGGAGCAAACGAGGAUUACGAA
rnacentral:rRNA from 1 species